CCUACUCGUAAACGCGACGGUUCCCUCACGGGAUCAAAAGGGAACGCAGUGCGGGUGGCUCGCCACCCCAUGCUGCGGCUGCCCCCGCAACUGUAAGCGGCGAGCCUUUCGCCAUACGCCACUGGGACCUCGGCCCUGGGAAGGCGGUGAGAAGGCGCUGACCCGCGAGCCAGGAGACCUGCCGUCAGUCGUGGUCACAC
rnacentral:ncRNA from 2 species